UACGUAGGUGGCAAGCGUUGUCCGGAUUUACUGGGUGUAAAGGGCGUGUAGCCGGGCUGACAAGUCAGAUGUGAAAUCCGGGGGCUCAACCCCCGAACUGCAUUUGAAACUGUUGGUCUUGGGUAUCGGAGAGGCAGGCGGAAUUCCUAGUGUAGCGGUGAAAUGCGUAGAUAUUAGGAGGAACACCAGUGGCGAAGGCGGCCUGCUGGACGACAACUGACGGUGAGGCGCGAAAGCGUGGGGAGCAAACAGG
rnacentral:rRNA from 1 species